GAUAAACUUGAUCAUAAACACACAAUUCAUCGGAUCUCGACAAACACACUGCAAAAAGAGUUACAUAGAAUAGAUCUCCAAGAAGAUCAAGGAGAACAUGGUAUUGGGAUCCAAAGAGAGAGAAAAGGCCAUCUAGCUGAUAACUAUGGACCCGAAGGUCUGUGGCAAACUACUCACAACUCAUCGGAGAGGCCUUGGACAUGAUGUAGAGGCCCUCCGUAGUCGAUUCCCCCUCCGGUGGAGCACCGGCGAAGCCUCCAAGAUGGGAUCUCGCGGAUACAGAAGGUUGCGGCGGUGGAAUUAGGUUUUCGUUGGCUCCCGUGAUGUUCUCGGGGUACGUGGGUAUAUAUAGGAGGAAGAAGUAGGUCAGUGGACUCUCGACGGGCCCACGAGAUAGGGGGCGCGCCCAGUAGGGGGGGCACCCUCCACCCUCGUGGCCACCUUGAUUGUUGCAUGACUUCCACUUAAGUCCUCUAGAUCAUGUUUGUUCCAAAAAUCACGCUCCCGAAGGUUUCAUUCCGUUUGGACUCCGUUUGAUAUUCCUUUUCUUCGAAACACUGAAAUAGGCAAAAAAACAGCAUUACGGGCUGGGCCUCCGGUUAGUAGGUUAGUCCCAAAAAUGAUAUAAAUGUGUAAAGUAAAGCCCAUAAACAUCCAAAAUGGGUAAUAUAAUAGCAUGGAACAAUAAAAAAUUAUAAAUAUGUUGGAGACGUAUCAGCAUACAUGAUAGAACCUAUGGUUGAGGCAUAGGGAAUGACUUUCAUUUUCUCUCUAUCUUCUACAGUGGUCCGGCAUUGAGUCUGACUCAACUUCACACCUUGUAACACAGGCAAGAACCCUUUCUUUGACUGAUCCAUUUUGAACUUCUUCAAAACUUUAUCAAGGUAUGUGCUUUGUGAAAGUCCUAUUAAGCAUCUUGAUCUAUCUCUAUAGAUCUUGAUGCCCGAUAUAUAAGCCGUUUCACCGGUCUUUCAUGAAAAACCUUUUAUUCAAGUACCCUUUUAUGCUAUCUAGAAAUUCUAUAUCAUUUCCAAUCAACAAUAUGUUAUCUACAUAUAAUAUUAGAAAUUCUAUAGAGCUCCCACUCACUUUCUUGUAAAUACAGGCUUCUCCAAAAGUCUAUAUAAAACCAUAUGCUUUGAUCACCUCAUCAAAGCAUAUAUUCCAACUCCGAGAUGUUUGCACCAGUCCAUCAAUGGAUCGCUGGAGCUUUCACACUUUGUUAGCACCUUUAGGAUCGACAAAACCUUCUGGUUGCAUCAUAUACAACUCUUCUUUAAGAAAUCCAUUAAGGAAUGCAGUUUUGACGUCCAUUUGCCAGAUUGAAGUCCUCCAAGUAGCAUCUCCAAGUAGCACCGCAUAGCAUAAUCCUACCCGGCGAUCCUCCCCUCGUCGCCCUGUGGAAAAGCGAUCACCGGGUUGUCUGUGGAACUUGGAAGGGUGUGUUUUAUUAAGUAUCCGAUUCUAGUUGUCAUAAGGUCAAGGUACAACUCCAAGUCGUCCUGUUACCGAAGAUCACGACAAUUCGAAUAGAUUAACUUCCCUGUAGGGGUGCACCACAUAACCCAACACGCUCGAUCCCAUUUGGCCGCACACACUUUCCUGGGUCAUGCCCGGCCUCGGAAGAUCAACACAUCGCAGCCCCACCUGGGCACAACAGAGAGGUCAGCACGCCGGUCUAAAUCCUAUGCACGCAUGGGUCUGGGCCCAUCGCCCAUUGCACACCUGCACGUUGCGAGGGCGGUCAGAAGCAGACCUAGCCUCCCUUAUACAAGAGUAGGCGUUCCAGUACAAUCCGGCGCGCGCCGCUCCGUCGCUGACGUCAAGAAGGCUUCGGCUGAUACCACGAUGUCGAGUGCCCAUAACUGUUCCCGCGUAGUUGGUUAGUGCAUAUAGGCCAGUAGCCAGACUCAGAUCAAAUACCAAGAUCUCGUUAAACGUCUUAAGUAUCCGCGAACGCCGACCAGGGCCAGGCCCACCUGUCUCCUAGGUGGUCUCAACCUGCCAUGUCGCUCCGCCACAAAGUAACAGUCGGGGGCCGUUGGGAACCCAGGCCCACCUCUACCGGGAUGGAGCCACCUGUCCUUCCAGCCCCCACAUCGGAACCACUUGCGGGUACUCAACAAGCUGACCCGACUUUAGUCACCAUCUGUAUAGGAUAUGUAUGUAUAGUAAAUACCCGUGAUCACCUCCCGAGUGAUCAUGACCCGAUAGUAUAGCAAGGCAGACUGACAAGAAUGUAGGGCCAAUGAUGAUAAACUAGAAUCCUAUACUAGGCAUUUAGGAUUGCGGGUAAGGUAUCAAUGACUGUAGCAACAAUGACAGGCUAUGCAACAGAAUAGGAGUAACCGAACAGUAACAUGCUACACUACUCUAAUGCAAGCAGUGUAGAGAAGAAUAGGCGAUAUCUGGUGAUCAAAGGAGGGGCUUGCCUGGUUGCUCUGGCAAGGAGGGGUCGUCAACUCCGUAGUCGAACUGGGGGUCGCCGGCAGUCUCGGGGUCUACUGGAAAAAAGUAACGGAGGGGGAACACAAUAAAUAACAGAGCAAUCAAAGCAUCACAAAGCAUAACAUGGCAAUACGCGGUGCUAGGUAUGCCCUAACGCGGUAGUAGGUGGUACCGGCGAAAGGGGGAAACAUCCGGGAAAGUAUCCCCGGUGUUUCGCGUUUCCGGACAGAUGAACCAGAGGUGAAAAGUUGCGAGUUCGAUAGGUUAGGGAGGUGUGCCGGAUGAACGGGCUGCGUAUCCAGAUUCGUCUCGUCGUUCUGAGCAACUUUCAUGUAGAAAGUAUUUUCAUCCGAGCUACGGUUUAUUUUAUACUUCCUCUGUAAACUAAUAUAAGAGUGUUUAGAUAACUACUUUAGUAUUCUAAACACUCUUAUAUUAGUUUAUGGAGGGAGUACUAAUUUAAAAAGAUUUAAUCAUUUCCUAGAUUUCCUGGAUUUAAUUUAAUUCGAAAUUAAAAACAGAAUAUACUUUCGUCACCUAGUGCUACCCUAGCAUGUGAGUAUGACAGUGGGGCCAGUGGGGUUGGGUUGACCCAGUCAAAGGUUGACUGGUCAACAUAUGAAUAGUGUAAGUGGGUCCCAUGUGUCAUUGUCUUUUGUUUAAUAAAAUGGUAAUUAACCAGGGUGGUCCCACAUGUCAUUUACACUAUACCUAACCACUACUUAGCAUAACUACUAAUUAGCUAACCUACCUAACCAGGAUCAGCCUCAUCCACACACAUACGCACACACACAACGCGCUCACACACACACACAACUACGCACACAUCACACACACACACUGGCGCACACGGCCAUGGCCGUGGCCAGCAGCAGCAGGCAACGGCGGGCAGCGGCGGCUCCUAGUGGCAGCAGCAGUACGAGAGCAGCAGGGGGCACCUAGCAGCAGCAGCAGUACGAAGAGCAGUAGCAAGAGGAGCGGCAAGAAUAGCAGCACGCAUCGGCAGUAUGCAGCAGCAAGGACGCAGCAGCGGCACAAGCAGUAGCAGGCAACAUCGACGAGCACGACAAAGGCGCGACCACGGGGAGGAGCAAGCGAGCGAGCAGGGGCGCGACCUCGCGCACGCGUAGGAGCGCAGCACGCGUACCCGGGCGUGGCCGGCGGCCGAGCGCAAACACUGGGCGGCCAGGACGCAGGGCUCGAGGGCGGUGAGCGUGACGCGGUCGUGGUGGCCGCGGCCAUCGGCCGGAAUUUGGGCAGCGCCACAGAGCGACGAACAGAGGGGGAAACGAGAGGAAUGGGGGUGGCGCUCACAGGGGAAGGCGGAGGACGCGUCCGACGGGGCAGAGGAGCUCCGGUGAGGUAGAUCGGGCGCGGGGCAGCGGCAGCCAUUGGCGAGGUAGAUGCGUCGAUCCCGACGAUGUAGUUGAUCCGGGCUCGCGUAGAAGGGCAGGGGCGGCGUGUGUUGACGCGGCGAAGCUCCCGAACAACCUCCCGUGGCACGGGGAGUCCUCGGGGCACGAGAACGUCGACAAGGUGGAGACGACUCCGUUAGGUGUGCACCAAAACGAUGGGGGCGACGAAGAGGAGAGGGCUAAGUGACC
rnacentral:lncRNA from 1 species